GUUAUCCCUUUUUUUUUUGAUAAAAUUAAAAAGACCAAAAUUUACACAACCCAAAUCCAAAAACAACAAAUAACUUUCAGAAACUUUUUUGUGCUUGAUAAAAAAGUAUAAAAAAACUCACAUAUCAAACUAAAUAAUGCAAAGAUAACCAUAAAAAUCCAUAAAUAAUCUUGCUUCAUCUCAAAGUAAAAGUAAAUAAAAAUCUAGUAAGCACAGUACUUCCAGCAGCUUUAUUAUACCCAAAAAAAAAAAUCCAAAAUCUUAAUCCACCCCUAUAAGUCAUAAACCCUCAAAGCCCUGUUAUUUUCCUCUUAAAAAAACCUAAUUGUAGAGAAAUACAAAGCGAACCCACAAAACAGAAAUUGAACCCCAAAUCAACCUCACUAGCACAGAACUGACACGGGAGAACACCCGGAACAGCCGGCCGCGCGGUUAAUCAAUCGGAAGAAAGAAAGGCGAGGAAAAAAGAAAUUACAUAAUUGUAGAGAAUUACAGAGCGGACCCACAAAAGGGGCAGAACUUGAACUCCGAAUCAACCUCACGAGCGCAGUACUGACACCGGAGAACAUCCGGAACCACCAGCCGCGACGGCGAAUCUGGCGGAAGAGAGAAAGACGGAGGGAAAAAGAGAUUACAGUUGUUGCAGUGCAUCAGUUCGUCUUUUCCCGGCCACCGCCAAACGGGGACAAAGAAGAGCUUAAGAACCUUGUCGUAUUUGACGAGAUCGGCCGGCGAUCGGCAGUUUAUGCAUUUUCGUGCUCCUUUUUUCAGCACUUGGCUGACUUGUUGCUCAAUGCCUCAAUCCCUCCGGCGAAGAAGAAGAACAUUUUCUUUUCCCUUUAUCUUAAGAUUUUAUUUUAUUAUUCUUGACAAUUUCUGUUUGAAACUUUUGAGAGUUAUUUUAAGGAUUGGACGAGGCCUCGAGGGUCGGUCGGUGAUAGAAACUUCUCUGGAUGGUUCUAGCCUUUUACGGGUUCGUUGGGCCAUGACUUAUUUUAUUGUUCGGGUGUUUGACAAUAACUUCAAUUUUAAAUAAUAAAUUAAUUUAUAAGUUAUUUUUAUAAAAUAAUAUUUUUUUUACUUUUAAAAUAAUAAUUUAUUAAUUAUUUUAAAUAAUUAAAUUUGAUUAAAUAUAAUGACUAUUUUACUCUCUAUGUUUUUCUUAAAUUACAUCUAAUUUCUCUCAUCUCUCC
rnacentral:lncRNA from 1 species